rnacentral:lncRNA from 1 species
CGGCUCCUCGCCCUGACCGGAGCGGCGGGCUGACGGGAUAACUGGCGCGCAGACGGCCGUUUAGGGCCCCUGCUCCAGCUCCAGUAUAAUUACAUCAUCUCCUUAACCAGGAGAAUGGCUGUCUGCUCCUCAGAUCUGUAUCAUUAAUGAAGAUCUUUGUGUGUUGUGUUUCCUUGGUACAGAAAGCUUCAGGGCAGGAGUGACAGAAGAGAAAUGCCUACUUGGUUCCAGGCAAUACUAAGUUAUAUGGCAGCAUUUAAAAUAGAAGCAGAAUGCACCAGAUACUCAAGAAACAAAAUAAAUGAAGUGAGCAUCUGUUACAACACAUUUAGAGCAAAGAAAGACUUCUGCUGGACGUCCUGGCAGCAAGCUGUGCAAGUUGAAGCGGAAUCUGAUUGAGAAGGUUAGCCCUGAGCUAACAUCUGUGCCAAUCUUCCUCCAUUUUGUUUGUGGGAUGCCUCCACAGCAUGGGUGAUGAGCAGAGCAAGUCCACACCUGGGAUCCAAACCUGUGAAUCUGGGCUGCUGAAGCCAAGAGCACAGACCUUUAACCACUCAGCCAUGGGGCCAGCUCCUGUUUUUCAUUAUUAUUGAGACUGAGGGGUGGGAGUUCUCAAUAUAUUCUGGAUAAAACUCCUUUGUAGGAUACAUGUAUUAAAAGUAUUUCAGUUUGUG